rnacentral:rRNA from 1 species
UACGAAGGGGGCUAGCGUUGUUCGGAAUUACUGGGCGUAAAGCGCACGUAGGCGGCUUGGCAAGUCGGAUGUGAAAUCCCUCGGCUCAACCAAGGAAGUGCAUCCGAAACUGCUGAGCUUGAGUACUUAAGAGGAUCGCGGAAUUCCCGGUGUAGAGGUGAAAUUCGUAGAUAUCGGGAGGAACACCAGUGGCGAAGGCGGCGAUCUGGGAAGAUACUGACGCUGAGGUGCGAAAGCGUGGGGAGCAAACAGG